GGCAAAAAGACUAAAGGCAUGCGUGGCUUGUUCACGCACGCACGAAUGCUGGUGAAGGUAAUUAAAUCACCUUCACACAAUGUUCUUGUGACACUGAAUUACUUUUUGAAAUGAAGAUGCAAAGGGGACGAAGUUGCUUCUGGAGACCGAAGAUGCUUGCAGCGUUGAUGAUGAUUCUCACCUACUGCUUCCUCUGGUCUUCCUUCUGUAACCACUUGUCCAAAGACAAUUUCAAGGAUAAUUCUCCUCACUAUGUGCUACCCUCUUGUUCUCUCUUUCUCUAUGUAUUUGGAUUUGUGCUCUGUUUUCUCUGCUGUUUUUUUUUGUUCUUAACUCUGUUUUUCUGGGUUGAUUUUUCGGCUCUCUUUUUUCCUCCUUGUUCUAGGUUUUCUUCCUCCUUUUAUAGACUCCCCAACCACUUCCUUUAACCAGGACUGUUAUCUUCCCCGACGAGAUUGUGGGUGAGAGACGCGGUCCAUGAUUGGAUCGACUUUGUUGCAGAUCUUCAGCCUGUUGAAUCAGGAUGGAGAAGACAAACACGGUUGUUCCACCUGCAACGGCGACGUUUCAGCAGCAAUGGAUUCUUUCAUUUUGACCCCUGAACUUUGGAAAUUCAACAAAUGGACCCCUAAGCAAUUAAAAAUUUCUUUUAAUUUUUCCCUUUUGGAUUAAUUUCAAUUAAAUCGCUAAAUUGGUACACUGUUUACAAAACAGUCCUUAAUUCCUGGAUUAUUCAAUUUGAUCCUUAAUUAAUUCUUU